rnacentral:rRNA from 1 species
UGGGGAAUAUUGGACAAUGGGCGAAAGCCUGAUCCAGCCAUGCCGCGUGUGUGAAGAAGGUCUUCGGAUUGUAAAGCACUUUAAGUUGGGAGGAAGGGCAUUAACCUAAUACGUUAGUGUUUUGACGUUACCGACAGAAUAAGCACCGGCUAACUCUGUGCCAGCAGCCGCGGUAAUACAGAGGGUGCAAGCGUUAAUCGGAAUUACUGGGCGUAAAGCGCGCGUAGGUGGUUUGUUAAGUUGGAUGUGAAAUCCCCGGGCUCAACCUGGGAACUGCAUUCAAAACUGACUGACUAGAGUAUGGGAGAGGGUGGUGGAAUUUCCUGUGUAGCGGUGAAAUGCGGAGAUAUAGGAAGGAACACCAGGGGCGAAGGCGACCACCUGGACUAAUACUGACACUGAGGGGCGAAAGCGUGGGGAGCAAACA